rnacentral:rRNA from 1 species
CCUACGGGUGGCAGCAGUCGAGAAUCAUUCACAAUGGGGGAAACCCUGAUGGUGCGACGCCGCGUGGGGGAAUGAAGGUCUUCGGAUUGUAAACUCCUGUCAUGUGGGAGCAAAUUAAAAAGAUAGUACCACAAGAGGAAGAGACGGCUAACUCUGUGCCAGCAGCCGCGGGAAUACAGAGGUCUCAAGCGUUGUUCGGAAUCACUGGGCGUAAAGCGUGCGUAGGCUGUUUCGUAAGUCGUGUGUGAAAGGCGCGGGCUCAACCCGCGGACGGCACAUGAUACUGCGAGACUAGAGUAAUGGAGGGGGAACCGGAAUUCUCGGUGUAGCAGUGAAAUGCGUAGAUAUCGAGAGGAACACUCGUGGCGAAGGCGGGUUCCUGGACAUUAACUGACGCUGAGGCACGAAGGCCAGGGGAGCGAAAGGGAUUAGAUACCCCAGUAGUC